GAUGAACGCUGGCGGCGUGGAUUAGGCAUGCAAGUCGUGCGGAAAGGCUCCUUCGGGAGUACUCGAGCGGCGAAAGGGAGAGUAACGCGUGGAUAUCUACCCCCUGGUCUGGGAUAGCGGCGGGAAACUGCCGGUAAUACCAGAUAAAGUCUGCGGACCAAAGGUGUGAUUCCGCCGGGGGAUGAGUUCGCGUCCUAUUAGCUAGUUGGUGGGGUAAUGGCCUACCAAGGCAAAGAUGGGUACCGGGUGUGAGAGCAUGGCCCGGCUCACUGGGAUUGAGACACUGCCCAGACACCUACGGGUGGCUGCAGUCGAGAAUCGUCGGCAAUGGGCGCAAGCCUGACCGAGCGACGCCGCGUGCGGGAUGAAGGCCUUCGGGUUGUAAACCGCUGUCAGAGGGGAGGAAAUGCAUGGGAGUUAUCUCUCAUGUUUGACCUAUCCUCAGAGGAAGUACGGGCUAAGUUCGUGCCAGCCGCCGCAGUAACAC
rnacentral:rRNA from 1 species